rnacentral:lncRNA from 1 species
GUAACCACACACUUUCCUGUUUGCACCCUCGGCCCGAAUCCGAAGCCCAAAUGCAACCAAUGUUGGGCCCGGCUUUCUUUGAGAUCGUAUACACAGCCAAAAUGGGGAGUGGUUUCCCCAUAAUCCUCUUAGCACCAAAAUAUAACAAACCCUAAUAUCCUUUUCCCUUUUCCCUUGAGAUCGAUGGCAGCCUUCAUCACCUUCGAAGCUCCCUCUUGUCGGCAACCGGCUACCCUCCGAAGACUCUCUCUCCCUCUCUGAUUUCGGUACCAUCAUCCCUUCACAACUCGUGGGUUUGGUUGAUUAACUGGAAUGGGUAAAUUGUUAAAUACCGAGCAAAUCCAAGGUCUAUAGGCUUAUAUCAUUUGGAACUUGCUGUCUCGGAGGCUGGAGUGGUCAUGGGUCGAGAUACAUGGAAUCUCAAUACAAGCUUAUGGUUUAUGUAUACAUGGUUUACGAAACACUUAACAAAUGAGUUAUGCUUCCGCUGUAUUCAAUGAAUGAUAUGUAACGUUUGUAACACUUUACGUUAAUGAAUGAAAGUUUUAUUUA